rnacentral:rRNA from 1 species
GGGAGGGGCCAUACCAUGCUGAAUACGCCGGUUCUCGUCCGAUCACCGAAGCUAAGCAGCAUUGGGCUCGGUCAGUACUUGGGAGGGAGACAAAUUACAGCCGAUUCAGGAAUUCCACACC